UACGUAGGGUGCGAGCGUUAAUCGGAAUUACUGGGCGUAAAGCGUGCGCAGGCGGUUCGUUGUGUCCGUCGUGAAAGCCCCGGGCUUAACCUGGGAACUGCGAUGGAAACUAGCGAGCUGGAGUGUGGCAGAGGGGGGUGGAAUUCCGCGUGUAGCAGUGAAAUGCGUAGAGAUGUGGAGGAACACCGAUGGCGAAGGCAGCCCCCUGGGUCAAAACUGACGCUCAUGCACGAAAGCGUGGGGAGCAAACAGG
rnacentral:rRNA from 1 species